UAUUGAUUAGAUGAAUAUGGUGAUGU
rnacentral:piRNA from 1 species